rnacentral:rRNA from 1 species
GAGUUUGAUCCUGGCUCAGAGCGAACGCUGGCGGCACGCUUUACACAUGCAAGUCGAGCGAGAAAGCGGCUUCGGUCGCAAGUAUAGCGGCGGACGGGUGCGUAUAACGUGGAUAACCUGCCUUAAGGACCGGGACAACCUUGGGAAACCAAGGCUAAUACCGGAUAUGACCACGAUGUCUGAGGGCAACGGGGUAAAAGAUGACCGUUUACGGUUGUCGCCUUUUGAGGGGUCCACGUCCUAUCAGGUAGUUGGUGGGGUAAAGGCCUACCAAGCCAAAGACGGGUAGCCGGCCUUAGCGGGUGAUCGGCACACGGGGACUGAGACACGGCCCGACUCCUACGGGAGGCAGCAGUGGGGAAUAUUGGGCAAUGGGCGAAAGCCUGGCCCAGCGAUGCCGCGUGAGGGAAGAAGGCCUUCGGGUUGUAAACCUAUGUCAAGAGGGAAGAAGGGUCUGAAAUUAACCUUGCGGGCUUGACUGUACCUCCAGAGGAAGCCCCGGUAACUCCGUGCAGCAGCCGCGGUAAUACCGGAGGGGGCAAGCGUUGCUCGGAAUUACUGGGCGUAAAAGAGUCCGAGGUGGUCUUGCAGUUGGAUGUUGAAAGCCCGGAGUUAACUUCCGGAAUUGGCUUCCAAACUGGUUGACUUGGAGUCCACGA